GUUUAAUGAUAAAAAGUAUGAUUAAUGAAGGGAAGAUUGUUCCUUCUGAGGUGACAGUAAAGCUUCUCCAACAGGCAAUGGAGGAAAGUGGUAAUGACAAAUUUCUUAUAGAUGGUUUUCCACGUAAUGAUGAAAACCGUGCUGCUUUUGAGGCUGUUACUGGUAUAGAGCCAGCUUUUGUCCUGUUUUUCGAUUGUCCUGAAGAGGAGAUGGAGAGGCGCAUUUUAAAUAGGAAUCAGGAAAGAGAUGAUGAUAAUAUCGAGACAAUUCGA
rnacentral:misc_RNA from 1 species